CAAGAUAGUUGUUAUGACGAAGGUCCAAACUAGCCCAACUCCCGGCUCGCCGUUCUCCUCCUCUCGAAUUCAAAUCUCUCUGUUGCGCCAUGUACACGAUCGCGAGGGCUUGGAGCUCUCCGAUCUGGAUGAAGAAGACGCUGAAGAAGAUUAAGGAGUAGGUGGAGAACAACAAGAUCGUUAAGUAUCCGUCCACCAAUCUGUCGAAACCCUAAUCCCGACCGGGGUUCAUCAGACGGACAUCGAGAGUGAGGGGGUUGGAUGACAUAGGCAAUGGCGUUGCGGUGUGAGGGACUGAAGAGGGUUCAUCCUACGGUGUUGCAGCGUUCGCCUCCACGAAAGGACUUUGGGUGAUUGAAAGUGGUAAACAGGAGAGACAUCUAGCUGCAGUUGUGGACAGCAACCACGAAGAGCUGCUACUGUUACAAGUUUGUGGUGAGCGACUCUCUGGAGACUGCUCGACCAGUGCAAUGAAGGUGAGUUCGUUCAGUAUAUCAAUUAGGCGUUGACUUCUUAGAUUCUGUUUACAUUGACUUCUAGGAAUUCUGAUAUCUGUCAAUUUCAUGCCA